GAUGAACGCUAGCUACAGGCUUAACACAUGCAAGUCGAGGGGCAGCAUUUUAGUUUCGCUUUGCAAACUGAAGAUGGCGACCGGCGCACGGGUGAGUAACACGUAUCCAACCUGCCGAUAACUCCGGGAUAGCCUUUCGAAAGAAAGAUUAAUACCGGAUAGUAUACGAAUAUCGCAUGAUAUUUUUAUUAAAGAAUUUCGGUUAUCGAUGGGGAUGCGUUCCAUUAGUUUGUUGGCGGGGUAACGGCCCACCAAGACUACGAUGGAUAGGGGUUCUGAGAGGAAGGUCCCCCACAUUGGAACUGAGACACGGUCCAAACUCCUACGGGAGGCAGCAGUGAGGAAUAUUGGUCAAUGGGCGCGAGCCUGAACCAGCCAAGUAGCGUGAAGGAUGAAGGCUCUAUGGGUCGUAAACUUCUUUUAUAUGGGAAUAAAGUUUUCCACGUGUGGAAUUUUGUAUGUACCAUAUGAAUAAGGAUCGGCUAACUCCGUGCCAGCAGCCGCGGUAAUACGGAGGAUCCGAGCGUUAUCCGGAUUUAUUGGGUUUAAAGGGAGCGUAGGUGGAUUGUUAAGUCAGUUGUGAAAGUUUGCGGCUCAACCGUAAAAUUGCAGUUGAAACUGGCAGUCUUGAGUACAGUAGAGGUGGGCGGAAUUCGUGGUGUAGCGGUGAAAUGCUUAGAUAUCACGAAGAACUCCGAUUGCGAAGGCAGCUCACUAGACUGUCACUGACACUGAUGCUCGAAAGUGUGGGUAUCAAACAGGAUUAGAUACCCUGGUAGUCCACACAGUAAACGAUGAAUACUCGCUGUUUGCGAUAUACAGUAAGCGGCCAAGCGAAAGCAUUAAGUAUUCCACCUGGGGAGUACGCCGGCAACGGUGAAACUCAAAGGAAUUGACGGGGGCCCGCACAAGCGGAGGAACAUGUGGUUUAAUUCGAUGAUACGCGAGGAACCUUACCCGGGCUUAAAUUGCAACAGAAUAUAUUGGAAACAGUAUAGCCGUAAGGCUGUUGUGAAGGUGCUGCAUGGUUGUCGUCAGCUCGUGCCGUGAGGUGUCGGCUUAAGUGCCAUAACGAGCGCAACCCUUAUCUUUAGUUACUAACAGGUGAUGCUGAGGACUCUAGAGAGACUGCCGUCGUAAGAUGUGAGGAAGGUGGGGAUGACGUCAAAUCAGCACGGCCCUUACGUCCGGGGCUACACACGUGUUACAAUGGGGGGUACAGAAGGCGGCUACCUGGUGACAGGAUGCUAAUCCCAAAAACCUCUCUCAGUUCGGAUCGAAGUCUGCAACCCGACUUCGUGAAGCUGGAUUCGCUAGUAAUCGCGCAUCAGCCAUGGCGCGGUGAAUACGUUCCCGGGCC
rnacentral:rRNA from 1 species